CCCCUCUCAGAGUCGCACCUGGAGAGUUUUCAGUAGUUUACCAGUCUCGGCUACAGGAGGAAGAAUCAAGCAGAGGCCUACCCAUUCCAUUCCUAGCUUGGCCAGUGGCUAGUGAGUGAAAGGCAAUCUGCUACAAGU